rnacentral:lncRNA from 1 species
GCGAGGUGAGAGACAGGAAGGUCAUCCUGAUUCCAGCCUCAGGCACGUCCGGGCGCGGCGAUCGCAGGGGACAGACAGAGCGGCCACACCGCUUGGGCUCUGCCGCGCGCCCGCGCCGCACCGAGCCGACUCCGAGGCGCCCCGGGCUUGCGGUCAGAGCCUGGGGAGAGGCCGACCCAUGGAAGUUGCAUCCUGGACAGUCCGGGCUGCGACGCUGAAGAGCACCGAGCCAGUGCUCGGCCGAGCCUCCCGCCCGGAUCCCGGGCAAAGACCGCCCAAAACCUGCUGUUGACCUUCGUCUGCACUGCUCAAUGGUGACCCGAGUCUUCGCUGUCCUAGUUGCAGCCAUUUGGCAUCCCCAAGACUGCCAGAGCACCCGGGAUCUGCAAACCUGGGGCUUGGAUUCUCUUCAGAGACUCAUACUGAGUGGUGGAUCUUGUGAAGGGCUCACUAACUCAAUUCCUGCUCCUUUCAUGUGUGUUAUAUACUGAGAGCCCUGAGAAGGAACUGUUCCUCCCUGAGGAAGGAAACUGCCGUGAUUUACCAAAACCAGAAAUAAUCCACAUGAUCACAAAAUGAGUCAGGAUGGAUCCCGAAGCCGUGCAGCUGGAGAAGCAGCACGUGCACAAGGUCUAUGAGAGCACCGCCCCCUACUUCAGUGACCUUCAAAACAAAGCUUGGCCCCGCGUCCGCCAGUUCCUGCAGGACCAGAAGCCAGGCAGCCUCAUCGCUGACAUUGGUAACCCAUACUUCUGUUUUGCCGUAUGUGAUCUCUUAUUAAACCGACACAACCUU